rnacentral:rRNA from 1 species
GAUGAACGCUAGCUACAGGCUUAACACAUGCAAGUCGAGGGGCAUCGAGAAGAAAGCUUGCUUUCUUUGUCGGCGACCGGCGCACGGGUGAGUAACGCGUAUCCAACCUUCCCCUUAGUAGGGCAUAGCCCGGCGAAAGUCGGAUUAAUACCCUAUGUUUUCCAAUGAGGACAUCUGAGCUGGAACAAAGAUUUAUCGCUAAGGGAUGGGGAUGCGUCUGAGAGACAGCGGCUCGGGGUAACGGCCCACCGAGCCAACGAUCAGUAGGGGUUCUGAGAGGAAGGUCCCCCACAUUGGAACUGAGACACGGUCCAAACUCCUACGGGAGGCAGCAGUGAGGAAUAUUGGUCAAUGGACGGGAGUCUGAACCAGCCAAGUAGCGUGCAGGAUGACGGCCCUAUGGGUUGUAAACUGCUUUUAUCGGGGGAUAAAGUGAGGGACGUGUCCCUUUUUGUAGUACCCGAUGAUAUGGCCCGGCUAUUCCGUGCCAGCAGCGCGGUAUACGAGAUCGAGCGUUAUCCGAUUAUUGGGUUUAAGGAGCGUAGCGGAGGAUCAAGUCCACCUGUGAAUGUAGUCCUCACUCUGCCUGCAUUGAAUUGGUUCCUUUGAUGCGUGAGAGAGCGAAAAUCCUGUGCGGGGAGGCUUAUGGAUCAUCAGCUUCGCCCGCCACAGCGUCGGUACUGCUGCAAGACUCGUCUCG